GGCUGGCGGGGCUAAACAGGAAGUAAUGUAGAAUCUGUGGGCGGGGCUAAACAGGUAGUGAUGUAGAAUCGGUGGGCGGGGCUAAACAGUUAGUGAUGUAGAAUUGGUGGGCGGGGCUAAACAGGAAGUGCUGCAGAAUCAGUGGGCGGGGGCUAAACAGGAAGUGCUGUAGAAUCUGUGGGCGGGGCUAAACAGGAAGUGCUGUAGAAUCAGUGGGCGGGGGCUAAACAGUUAGUGAUGUAGAAUCUGUGGGCGGGGCUAAACA